AGGAUAGUCCUGGAAACUGACCUCCUUCCUCUAGAGGAUGGUUUAAGCAAAGCAACAGCAGUGUUUGCUUCCCCCACGCUAUCCUGCCAAUGUGCAUCAGCCCGCACCUGGAUAGACCAUCUGUAAUGGUGACAAGAUAGUUCAGUCUCCAUGUUUGUUUAGUCCUUGGUCUCU
ensembl:misc_RNA